rnacentral:rRNA from 2 species
GAUGAACGCUAGCGGCAGGCCUAACACAUGCAAGUCGAGGGGCAGCACAGGUAGCAAUACUGGGUGGCGACCGGCGGAUGGGUGCGUAACGCGUAUGCAACCUACCAUUGAUUGGGGCAUAGCCCGAAGAAAUUCGGAUUAAUACUCCAUAAUAUUCAUCAAAGGCAUCUUUUAUGAAUUAAAGCUUUUGCGAUCAAUGAUGGGCAUGCGUGACAUUAGUUAGUUGGUGAGGUAACGGCUCACCAAAACGAUGAUGUCUAGGGGUUCUGAGAGGAUUAUCCCCCACACUGGUACUGAGACACGGACCAGACUCCUACGGGAGGCAGCAGUGAGGAAUAUUGGUCAAUGGACGCAAGUCUGAACCAGCCAUGCCGCGUGCAGGAUGACGGCCCUAUGGGUUGUAAACUGCUUUUCCACGGGAAGAACCCUCCGACGUGUCGGAGACUGACGGUACCGUGGGAAUAAGCAUCGGCUAACUCCGUG